rnacentral:rRNA from 1 species
AGAAUCAACGCUGGCGGCGUGCCUAACACAUGCAAGUCGCACGAGAAAGGGGAGCAAUCCCUGAGUACAGUGGCGCACGGGUGAGUAACACGUGAAUAAUCUACCUCCGAGUGGGGAAUAAACUGAGAGAAAUCUUAGCUAAUACCGCAUAACACUUACGAGUCAAAGCAGCAAUGCGCUUGGAGAGGAGUUCGCGGCAGAUUAGUUAGUUGGCGGGGUAAUGGCCCACCAAGACGAUGAUCUGUA